UUUGAGUUUUGGAUAAUAUAUAUAGUGGGUUUUUUGGUGCUUAAGAAAAAUACCUGUUAAACCAAGGAUUACCCAUUGUGAUUUACUUGUUCCUUAAGAGAGAGACUUUAGGCAUCAGCUCUGGGACUGUGGGAUCUCUUUUUGCCUCUGUCACUGCUGGGGAAUCGCAGCUCCGGACUGACCUGAGCUGGUAUUCCAGACUAUGGAAGAGAGCCAGUGCUCACUGCUCACCCCAAUGCUUGUAGGAG
rnacentral:lncRNA from 1 species